GACGAACGCUGGCGGCGUGCUUAACACAUGCAAGUCGAACGGAAAGGCCCUGCUUUUGUGGGGUGCUCGAGUGGCGAACGGGUGAGUAACACGUGAGUAACCUGCCCUUGACUUUGGGAUAACUUCAGGAAACUGGGGCUAAUACCGGAUAGGAGCUCCUGCUGCAUGGUGGGGGUUGGAAAGUUUCGGCGGUUGGGGAUGGACUCGCGGCUUAUCAGCUUGUUGGUGGGGUAGUGGCUUACCAAGGCUUUGACGGGUAGCCGGCCCGAGAGGGUUACCGGCCACAUUGGGACUAAGAUACGGCCCAGACUCCUACGGGAGGCAGCGGUGGGGAAUAUUGCACAAUGGGCGGAAGCCUGAUGCAGCAACGCCGCGUGCGUGAUGACGGCCUUCGGGUUGUAAACCGCUUUCGCCUGUGACGAAGCGUGAGUGACGGUAAUGGGUAAAGAAGCACCGGCUAACUACGUG
rnacentral:rRNA from 1 species